rnacentral:piRNA from 1 species
UAACAGAGCCUACCUCAAACCACACCCAGA